rnacentral:lncRNA from 10 species
CUCUUUUUUAUUUCCUGAAAACUUGUAUCUUGUUAUUUGAAUAAAAAAAUUUUAGAAUCUUAAAAUUAUAGAGCUCUUGGGAACUUUUUCAUUUCAUGCAGUCACAUGUGGCCUAUCUAUGGCUAUGUGUAAUAGUAUUUGCGUGACGAAUUCAUGCUUAAAUAUAUUGAUUUGUGAGGAUAAGACGUCUAAGUGGAUAUAUGCGGAGCUCAAGAGGGAGAUAGACUAAAUGAAUCAGUAGCGUAUACUUGCUGAUUGCAACCACAAGAGUGGGUGAGUUGAUGGGGGGUGAGUUAGAUAUCUCUGAAUCAUAGAGCUAUUUAAAAAAAUCUAGUUGCCUAGACACCAUACAUGAAGAUUUUCAUUUUGUAAGUUAAGGCUGAGGUCCACUGGUAUUGAGUAAAAAGAGAAGCUGACUUGGGGCGGGGACAUAAGAAAGACUAAAUUUUGAGAUGGCUAAGGUAAGAGAAGCUGCGUUAGGACAUAGAUGAGUGAGGAAGUGGAAAAACAGGAGACUGGCAUUGUAGGCCAGGAAAAGUCUUUCAAAGGGAAGGAGUGGUUAUCAGCUUCCAUUAUUAGAAAGUUAAGUAAACCUAGGACUGAGAAAUACCUGUUGGAUUUAGCAGCAAAAAGUUGUUACCUCUGUGAGAGAUGCUGUUUCCAUGGAGCUGGGGACCCAGGCAGUAGAAGCGGAAUGACAGUGGGUAGAUGAAUAUGAAAUGUUGUGUUAUGAAGGAAAGAGGGAAAGAAUGUGGUAGCUGGAAAAAGAGUAUGGGUUAGCAGUUUUAUUAAGGUAGAAUGGUUUGCACCAACUUAAAAGCAGAUGGUAGUUCAAGAGGGAGAAGUUGAA